GACGAACGCUGGCGGCGUGCUUAACACAUGCAAGUCGAACGGAAAGGCCCUGCUUUUGUGGGGUGCUCGAGUGGCGAACGCGUGAGUAACACGUGAGUAACCUGCCCUUGACUUUGGGAUAACUUCAGGAAACUGGGGCUAAUACCGUAUAGGAGCUCCUGCUGCAUGGUGGGGGUUGGAAAGUUUCGGCGGUUGGGGAUGGACGCGCGGCUUAUCAGCUUGUUGGUGGGGUAGUGGCUUACCAAGGCUUUGACGGGUAGCCGGCCUGAGAGGGUGACCGGCCACAUGGGGACUGAGAUACGGCCCAGACUCCUACGGGAGGCAGCAGUGGGGAAUAUUGCACAAUGGGCGGAAGCCUGAUGCAGCAACGCCGCGUGCGGGAUGACGGCCUUCGGGUUGUAAACCGCUUUCGCCUGUGACGAAGCGUGAGUGACGGUAAUGGGUAAAGAAGCACCGGCUAACUACGUG
rnacentral:rRNA from 1 species